rnacentral:pre_miRNA from 1 species
CAAGGGGCAGGGAGGGAAUCCCUUAGCUUGAAUUGUGAGAGGGCGCAGGCCAGGCUGAGGGACCCCACUGGUGCAUG